CGCCGCCGCCGCCGCCGCCGCCGCCGUCGCCGCCGCGGCCCGGACUCUCAGCGCUGGUUUUAAUGGGCAGCUCCCAGCUCGCCGCCCCCAGCCCCCCACCUCCGCGGCUAGUCCCCUCCCUCGAUUUCGAUCCGAAGGGAGGGUGCGUGUGAGGAACAGAUGGAGGUGGCGUUCAAACGGAGCACCGGAGGACUCUGGACCACAGCCGGACUGUCAACACCAGGGGUGCACAAGGGCCUCGAACACCCAAUAUUCUCUCCUCCUCAGUAAUUGAAAUCUCUCGCGGGGCGGCCGCCAGGAAUCGACGGGAUUUCUCUGGCUGCGGUUUGCACUGCCUCUAUCCGAAUAAAUCCAGCUCGCUGCCAACGGGCAGGGAACGCCUCCUGGUUCUCCUGUACGCAGACGCAUCGGCCUGGAACUCGACCCACGGUGGCCUCUCGUGCUCGUGAGGCGGCAGGUGGGGCCUUCCAGGGAGAUUGGACGAUCAGCACGCUUGGGCCGAGGGGUCCCUUGCUGCCCCGCUGUGCCUAGCAGCCCCCACUUCUGGUGGAUGCUUCAGGAACCCACCAGGCCGAGCCCGAGCCCGCCCGCGGCGAAAACUGAAAGCAAAUUCGGCGGCAGAUGAAGCCCGAACUUUCUUCCAUGCAAGUUUGCAGCAGAGAAUUGGCGGAGGCUUUGGGAGGUCAGCGCGACAGCGUGUGUGCGAGAAGGUGGGGCUGUCGGCGAGGAGGGCCAGGGGCAGCCUGCAGAGCGCGGGCCCAGGCGAAACGCUAGGGAAGGUGCCUCUCCUCCUUGAUGUCUCGCCAGCUCCUUGGCCGGUCUGUAAAAACAGUUCCCAGGGUGCCGCGGACGUCUAGGAUGUGUUCGCGGGGACUGCACCGGGGAGGCGCUGGCUUUGUGAAAGUUGCAGAAAGAGCUUUCGGAGAAGCGUCCGCCCAGCCGGGCGCAGGAAAGCUUGGGACCAGUUAGCCUUACCCCGGGCGAAACGGUCAGAAACCCUCUUGGGGAAGGGGGUGGGGGGAGUCCAUCGGUGGGGAAAAAAGGAGAAAUAUGUAAAACUUUAGACAAUAAAAAAAUCUACAAAAAAAUCCUCUUGGGGAGCCCCCUGUCCAGCCCGCUCCCCUCACCUCGAAACCGCGAGUAAAUAACCUCCCGUUGCCUGCACUGCGAACUUCCCGGCGCCGGGCCGAGCCGCGGUCGGCGGGCGGGCGAGGCCGGGACGCACAGCCAGCCCUCCAGGCACCCCGCGGCCGACGUAGCCCCGGCCCCAAGACAGGCUUGCGCGGGGGUGAAAGGACGACUGUGGUUCCCGCUCCCACGGGCUGCCCAGACCAUCACCGCCCACCUCCUAACUCCCUGGAGCGAAACCUUCCCUCCAGGGGAGCGGCUGU